AGCACCAACGUUUCCAAGCAAUACACAUUCACAAGUGUUUCCAUACUUGCCAUGCCCUAGUUUUCAGCCUACAGAGCCUUCUCUCAAGUGUUCUUACAUCAAUAUUCAGCAACCAAAGGAAAUAAACCCUAACAUGUUCUAUUUAUAAACUUAUUACAAUAAUAGGCAAAAAUAACAAAAGUGUCCCUAAUGUUAAAUGAACAAAAUGGCUCCCAUGGAGUGCAAUAGAGGGACGGCUUUUGAGCCCUUUUCACACUCCAACUCGUAUACUCCGUAGGUUGCAUUCAACACACUCAAAAGCAUCCAUCUUCAUGAUUGUACCUGUAUCAAAGAUUCUGAUGCAGAUACCACAUUCAUAGUAGAAUGUUCAAAAAAUUUCAUAGCAAAAUUACGUUCAUUUAAAAAAAUUGGAAAACAAGGAGCCAAAAAUGUUCAAGAAACAUAGUAACUAUUUAACAGAAAAAAUCACGAACAUAAUUUACAUACUCUCGAUAAGCAUG
rnacentral:lncRNA from 1 species